rnacentral:rRNA from 1 species
CGGACGGGUGAGUAACACGUAGGAAUCUGCCCUAAAGAGGGGGAUAACCCGAGGAAACUCGGGCUAAUACCGCAUAAUCUCUGAGGAGAAAAGCUGGGGUAACCUGGCGCUUUAGGAGGAGCCUGCGUCUGAUUAGCUAGUUGGCGGGGUAAAAGCCCACCAAGGCGACGAUCAGUAGCUGGUCUGAGAGGAUGAUCAGCCACACUGGGACUGAGACACGGCCCAG